GCAGAACGCGAAGAACCUUACCUGGGUUUGACAUGGCCGCAAAACUGUCAGAGAUGGCAGGGUCCUUCGGGGUCGGGUCGACAGGUGGUGCAUGGCUGUCGUCAGCUCGUGUCGUGAGAUGUUGGGUUAAGUCCCGCAACGAGCGCAACCCUCGUUCGAUGUUGCCAGCGCGUUAUGGCGGGGACGUCAUCGAAGACUGCCGGGGUCAACUCGGAGGAAGGUGGGGAUGACGUCAAGUCAUCAUGCCCCUUAUGUCCAGGGCUUCACGCAUGCUACAAUGGCCGGUACAAUGGGCUGCGAUACCGUGAGGUGGAGCGAAUCCCAAAAAGCCGGUCUCAGUUCGGAUCGGGGUCUGCAACUCGACCCCCGUGAAGUCGGAGUCGCUAGUAAUCGCAGAUCAGCAACGCUGCGGUGAAUACGUUCCCGGGUCUUGUACACACCG
rnacentral:rRNA from 1 species